UACGUAGGGCGCAAGCGUUAUCCGGAAUUAUUGGGCGUAAAGAGCUCGUAGGCGGUUUGUCGCGUCUGCCGUGAAAGUCCGGGGCUCAACUCCGGAUCUGCGGUGGGUACGGGCAGACUAGAGUGAUGUAGGGGAGACUGGAAUUCCUGGUGUAGCGGUGGAAUGCGCAGAUAUCAGGAAGAACACCCGUGGCGAAGGCGGCUCUCUGGGACGGUACUGACGCUGAGACGCGAAAGCGUGGGGAGCGAACAGG
rnacentral:rRNA from 1 species